ACAUCCUACGGGGCGCAGCAGUCGGGAAUAUUGCGCAAUGGAGGAAACUCUGACGCAGUGACGCCGCGUGCAGGAAGAAGGUUUUCGGAUUGUAAACUGCUUUAGACAGGGAAGAAAAAAGACAGUACCUGUAGAAUAAGCUCCGGCUAACUACGUGCCAGCAGCCGCGGUAAUACGUAGGGAGCAAGCGUUAUCCGGAUUUACUGGGUGUAAAGGGAGCGUAGACGGCAGCGCAAGUCUGGAGUGAAAUGCCGGGGCCCAACCCCGGAACUGCUUUGGAAACUGUGCAGCUCGAGUGCAGGAGA
rnacentral:rRNA from 1 species